rnacentral:snoRNA from 1 species
GAGAUGAUGAAAUGUUAUUGGUCCGUGUUUCUGAAUUAACUGUGACCGAGAAACCAUUCCAACUUCUGAUCUCC